AACGAACGCUGGCGGCAUGCCUAACACAUGCAAGUCGAACGAGACCUUCGGGUCUAGUGGCGCACGGGUGCGUAACGCGUGGGAACCUGCCCUUAGGUUCGGAAUAACUCCCCGAAAGGGGUGCUAAUACCGGAUAAUGUCUUCGGACCAAAGAUUUAUCGCCUUUGGAUGGGCCCGCGUUGGAUUAGCUAGUUGGUAGGGUAAAAGCCUACCAAGGCGACGAUCCAUAGCUGGUCUGAGAGGAUGAUCAGCCACACUGGGACUGAGACACGGCCCAGACUCCUACGGGAGGCAGCAGAGGGGAAUAUUGGACAAUGGGCGAAGGCCUGAUCCAGCAAUGCCGCGUGAGUGAUGAAGGCCUUAGGGUUGUAAAGCUCUUUUACCCGGGAUGAUAAUGACAGUACCGGGAGAAUAAGCUCCGGCUAACUCCGUG
rnacentral:rRNA from 1 species